GUUUCCAAUAACUCGAUGGCACACCGGACCGCAGGAGAAUGUGAUGGAGAACAGCAGCUGAGGAAGGAAAGGCCGUUGCAGCGGGUAGAUAGUUGGGGAGCCACAUGCUGAAGCAGAAGAGUUUCCCMGCCGGAUGCAUCUCACAGAUCCCCAGACAGCUGACGUUCCCAGGAAGGGCAAGUCCCGCUGCAUUCUGGGGCAGGGCUGUCAGGGUGCGGG
rnacentral:lncRNA from 1 species